CUUGGUCGACUUAAUGCCUCGCAGUCACAAUAGCAUGUCAGUGAGUGGUAACCAUGCGCCAGGAAACACAGUAAUACCAUUGGCAAAGCGACACAAGAAGGCAUUCGAGUAUAAAAAUGUGACUGGAUAAAACAUUUCCUCCCACCGAUUUAUAAGACCACCACCACCACCACCGCCGCCACCACAAACUCUACACAAGAUGGGGGAGUGUGGCGGGGAAGAUUCAGCCCUGGCAAGUCUCUUCGGGCCUGACCAGCCAAGGAACAGCAAAAAGGACAAGAAAAAUAGGAAGAUCAAUCGACGGAAAGCAGACAACAAAGGAAAGGACAAGAUGGAUGCCUUUCUCAGCCUGUUUGACCCAACACUGGAGGAUGAGACCGCGAGUGACAUGGAUGAACUAAAUGGCAAUGUGAUCCGAGACAACACAUGGCAGCACGAGAGGCGAGGGACCUUAGGGGGCAUCCGUAGGGGUCCCAGCGUCGCCAUUCUCCCUGACCAGCUUCCCUCUGAGCCCCAGGAGGGAAAUAUUGAGUACAAGUUGAAGCUCGUCAAUCCGAACCAUGAGAGAUUUAAACGUCUUGUGUCUCAGAUGCAGUGGAGGUUACGCGAGGGUCUGGGAGAGGCUAUAUAUGAAAUUGGCGUGGAGGACUCUGGGUUUCUGCUUGGCCUGACGGAGGAGGAGCUCGAGGCGUCCAUGGCCACACUGCGUCGGAUGGCCUGCCAGCUGGGUGCCUCUCUCACCGUCAUCAGGGAAAAGGUCAUCCAGGGUCAUGAUGGCCAGACUCGCAAGGCUGCAGAAGUUCUAGUCAGAAAGGUACCUGAUGACCAAUAUAGCAUAGAGCUCCGAGUGGCGGUUCUUGGUAACUCGGACGUGGGCAAGUCAACGCUGCUUGGAGUGCUGACGCGAGGGGAGCUGGACAAUGGAAGGGGGUGUGCACGUCUCAAUGUGUUCCGCCACCGUCAUGAAGUGUGCUCCGGGAAAACCUCAUCCAUUUCUCUGCAGCUUAUGGGGUUUGAUUCUCAGGGGAACGUCAUUGACCAGACCUGCACAAGGAGCCGAGACUACGACGAUGAGGACAUCUGCAGCCAGUCCAUCAAGAUCAUCAACUUCAUCGACCUCGCUGGAGACCAGAAGUACCUCAAGACAACAGUGUUUGGCCUGUCAGGGUACUCGCCCCACUACGCUGUGCUGGUGGUGAGUGCCUUCUCUGGUGUGGCGCCCAUGACAGAGGAGCACCUGAGUUUGGCGCGGGCCCUUGAUGUGCCCAUUGUCAUCGUGGUGACCAAGACUGACAUCGCCUCCCCACAGCAGAUUCAGCGUACCAUCACCGACCUCACACAGACACUUACACAGCCGGGGUACAAGCGGGUGCCGCUAAUUGUGCAGAACGAGGAUGACGCCAUAACAGCCGGCAGCAACCACCUGGAGGGGAAUGUGGUGCCGAUCUUCUGUGCCUCCAGCGUCACUGGCGAUGGACUCAGUCUGCUCAAGAAGUUUCUGUUUGUGUUGCCGCCACGCAUGAGCAACAAGGAGAGGGAGAAGCUGGAGCAGGAGCCGGCAGAGUUCCAAAUAGACGAGGUUUUCCACGUAGACAACAGCAUCAUUGUUGGUGGUCUGCUCACCAAGGGCGUCAUCACUCAGGGCACCACACUGCUGCUGGGUCCCAUGGAUAACUGCAGCUUUGUGCCAGUCACCAUCGGCUCGCUCCACCGCAACAAGGUGCCGUGCAGGGUGGUGUGUGCAGGACAGUCAGCCUCCCUGUCUCUCGAGGGGCCACAGCUGCACCUCCGAAAGGGCAUGAAACUAAUGAGUGUGGAGGCGCGACCAAGGGCUUGCUUCUAUUUCCAGGCGCGUACUCAGGUGCUGCACCACUCCACCAGCAUUGGCCGAGGCUUCCAGGCCACGGUGCACAUCGGCAACGUGAGGCAGACAGCCGUGGUGGAGGGCAUCCUUGGCUCCCGGGGACUCCACACCAACGAUAGGGGCUCCGUCAUCUUCCGCUUCCUCCGCCAGCCUGAGCUGGUGCAGAACGGGUCCAGGCUCCUGUUCCGGCAGGGGUCCACCAAGGGCAUUGGCAAGGUGAUCCAGGUGUUUGAGGAGGAGCCGGACAAUGUGGACAUCUACAAUGGCCUUGCUAGAUAAACACUCCACCACUCCACCGCUGGCAGGACACAACACCAUCUGGUCUUUGGCCGGGUUAUAUUUAUUUUCUUGGAGUGUUACUUGAGUGCAGCGAUCCCAUGAUGGUGGGUGUGAGGACAGGCCCGCCGUAACAGUCAGAGACAACCCCACAACUUGGACAUCAGAGCCUCUGCCUGAUGGAACGUCUUAGUCGCUGUGAAGGGAAUGGAACACCACACACAGCUGUGUGUUGGUGGAUUCUGAGUGCUGUAAGGUGUUGGAGCCUCACUGGUGCUUCCCUCACCUCUGAUGGCACUUGGUGAAGCAGAAUGUGAUAGAGAGUAGUGUAGAAAAAGGUGGUGUCUGCUGCCAUAGGAAUCUCCUUAAUCAAAUUAGUGGUGAUGAGGUGAAUUGAGGUUGUGACCCAGCACUGUGAUGCCACGCCACGCCACGCCACGCCGGGGACGUUCAGUGUGGGGAAGUUUGCCGCCCACCUGCCAUUGGACUUUACAUUUUUCUGAAGCCCAAGUCUUGAAACGUAGAGUUCAAAGUUUUACAAUAAUGUCUUUUCUUUUUUCUACAAUACAGUAUUUUACUACAGAAAUUUGAUAUUAGUUGAAUAAUAAUGAUACUUGUGUAAUAUACAUAAAUUGUUUGUAUGUAACAAUGUAAGUUUUUGAAGGCCAUUUAAUUCGAAAAGGAGGAAAAGAAUAAAGGAGAGGAGAUGGAAAUGAUGAGGUGCUGAUGACAAGCACCUCACUUGCCACUUGACAAAGCAACAUUGUACCUGCAUAGUUUUUUGUAAGAAACUAGAAGUAUGAAAAUCUUCCCUUAAUUCUUAACUGUUGAGAUCCAUCAUGAUGCUGCUGUUGCUGCUGCUGCUGCUGCUGCUGCUGCUGCUGUUAAGUAAUCAAGUAAAGUGAAGUGAUUUAAGAAUGUCAUGCUUGGUGUGCAGACUGGUGCCACUGAGGGAUUUGUGUUAAUGCUAGUGGAAAGUGUCUGCCCUGAGAAAAAUGUUAAAUUUAUUCAAUUCAUUUAGUGAAAUGCUUACGGUGGCAGUGUGUCCUUGAUGGAAUGCAGUGCUGUUAUCAGUGUCACUCAAAUUAGAGAAGAAGCUGUUCUCUGCAUGAAAAUAUGCUUGAUAAUAAUUUAAAUUCAUUACUGACAAGAAAUUAAUAUGAAUUUGUUACUUGUUAGUAAUGAGGGAAAUUGAACAGAAGCAUGGAAUAUAGAGAAGAAAGGAAGAACAUGAGGAUGAGCAAGGAAUGGAAAUGAAUAGAAUUGUGAAGAUUGUAUCUGCAUAUGACAUGAGAAGAGGAAAAUAAAGAAGGAUAAUGACAGGAAUGGAGUGAGAAGACUGGAUCAGUGUACAAGAGAUGUGAAGAGUGAAGGGCAGAAAUAAGAAAGAUGAAAAGUUUGGACAUCAGUAAGAAGAGAACAAGUUUGUUGGCAUAUUUACUCCCGCAGUCCCACCACUCACUCAUCCUUUCAGUCACUGGUCCUCGUCUCACUGACAUCCACACCCUUGGCUGCCACUUACCCGUUUGUCGAGUUUAUUCCACUGCUGAGGAUUGUCCCCGCACAUGAGGUAUCUCAUGUUACAGAUGUGUUAGGACUUCACUUUCAGAACCCCAUUUUUGCAAGCCUGGGACGCCACACGUUUAGUAGUGUUAGUGUUGUGUGCAGUCGCGAAGUCAGUCUGUUGUGAUGCAUGUCACAUUUCAAUGGUGUCUGAUGGCAGGUGGGUGCACAAGUGUGUCUUCUGUUUUCUUUCAUCAUAGUUUGCAUAUAUUUGGAUACCUGAUGUAUAUACGUAUAAAUAUAACAGAAUUUAUUUUUUGAAUGAGAGAUGCCUUAUCACUAUGGUUUAUUAUGUUAAUGAUUGGCCUAAGUUUUUGUGCUUUCUGUGUUAGUCUGUGAGACAGUCCCUCCUAAACACCGGUAAAUAUUGCUUUCAUAUUUACAAUAAAUAUAGGAACAUU
rnacentral:misc_RNA from 1 species